UACGAAGGUGGCAAGCGUUGUUCGGAUUUACUGGGCGUAAAGAGCGCGUAGGCGGAAAUUUAAGCGUGGCCUGAAAGCCCCCGGCUCAACCGGGGAGUGCGGCUGCGAACUGGGUUUCUUGAGGACGAUAGAGGAGAGUGGAAUUCCUGGUGUAGCGGUGAAAUGCGUAGAUAUCAGGAGGAACACCCGAGGCGAAGGCGGCUCUCUGGGUCGUACCUGACGCUGAGGCGCGAAAGCGUGGGGAGCGAACGGG
rnacentral:rRNA from 1 species